rnacentral:tRNA from 2 species
GGCCCAGUGGAGAAGCGGUUUAACUCGGUGCCCUCUCAAGGCAUUAUUCAUGGGUUCGAAUCCCGUUUGGGUCACCA